CGGGGGGGCAAGCGUUGUUCGGAAUUACUGGGCGUAAAGGGCGCGUAGGCGGUUUGCUAAGUCGGAUGUGAAAACUCUGGGCUCAACCCAGAGCCUGCAUCCGAAACUGGCAGGCUAGAGUUCUGGAGGGGGUAGCGGAAUUCCUGGUGUAGCGGUGAAAUGCGUAGAUAUCAGGAGGAACACCGGUGGCGAAGGCGGCUACCUGGACAGAAACUGACGCUGAGGCGCGAAAGCUAGGGGAGCAAACAGGAUUAGAUACCCUGGUAGUCCUAGCCCUAAACGAUGGAUACUUGGUGUGACUGGGAUUGAAUCCAGUCGUGCCGAAGCUAACGCAUUAAGAUCCCGCUGGGGAUACGGUCGCAAGGCUG
rnacentral:rRNA from 1 species